CUUUUUAAUAUUUAAUUAUGUGUUGUUAUAUCUUAUUUGGUACAGAAUUUUGUUUUACUCUUUUAGGAUUCUCUUUUGGUUUUGGUUUUUCCCUCUAACCAUUGAUACCACCUUUGCCAAACCAGGUAGUAGUCAGAUUCUUCCUUUCCUUGAAUUUCCUUGGCUUACGGGAUCAUUAAUGUUUGCAAACAAUUGCAAAAGAUGUUUGAAAAGUAUCAGGAAUCUUCUGACAAAUGAUAUGGAUCACCAACAAACAACAACUCUGUGAGGUGGAUUGGGCUGAGAGAAAGCGACUGGCCCAUAGACUCCUAACUGGCUUUCACGAUUAAGGCAGGAAUUGAACUCACAGUCUUCCACUUUCUCGCCUGUUGUCUUAACCAUUAGACCAAACUGACUUCAAGAAUUCGGGUGGACUAUUUGUGUCAAAUCACAUUGCUUGAGAAUGAAAAGAACUGGAAUUGAAGAAUAACUGGCAGCCGAUCCUUACAAUGCUUUACCAGAUGGCCCAGUUGCCCAGCUCCAGUAUAAAGACAGUGACUACAUAGAGACUAAUCAAAGUCUGGGAUUUGUCCAAACUAUUGAACAUGAUCCUGAUUCAGCAGCUUCCUUCUCCAUCUUAUUU